GAACGCGAAGAACCUUACCCGGGCUUGAACUAAGAGUGACUUAUCUAGAGAUAGAUAUUUCUUCGGACACUCUUGGAGGUGCUGCAUGGUUGUCGUCAGCUCGUGCCGUGAGGUGUCGGCUUAAGUGCCAUAACGAGCGCAACCCUUUUCCUUGGUUGCCAUCAGGUAAUGCUGGGCACUCCAGGGAUACUGCCAUCGUAAGAUGUGAGGAAGGUGGGGAUGACGUCAAAUCAGCACGGCCCUUACGUCCGGGGCUACACACGUGUUACAAUGGGGGGUACAGAAGUCGCUACCUGUGACAGGAUGCUAAUCUCAAAAACCUCUCUCAGUUCGGAUUGGAGUCUGCAACCCGACUCCAUGAAGCUGGAUUCGCUAGUAAUCGUGCAUCAGCCAUGGCGCGGUGAAUACGUUCCCGGGUCUUGUACACACC
rnacentral:rRNA from 1 species